rnacentral:rRNA from 1 species
CCCUAGCUUGCUAGGGUGUCAGCUAAGUGGCGCACGGGUGAGUAAUGUAUAGCUAACAUGCCCCAUAGAGGGGGAUAACAGUUGGAAACGACUGCUAAUACCCCAUACUCCUUCAUCACGUAAGUGAUGUUGGGAAAGGUUUAUUCCGCUAUGGGAUUGGGCUAUAUCGUAUCAGCUAGUUGGUAGGGUAACGGCCUACCAAGGCUAUGACGCGUAGCGGGUCUGAGAGGAUGAUCCGCCACACUGGAACUGAGACACGGUCCAGACUCCUACGGGAGGCAGCAGUGGGGAAUAUUGGGCAAUGGGCGCAAGCCUGACCCAGCAACGCCGCGUGGAGGAUGACGCCUUUCGGGGUGUAAACUCCUUUUAUCAGGGAAGAUGAUGACGGUACCUGAUGAAUAAGCACCGGCUAACUCCGUGCCAGCAGCCGCGGUAAUACGGAGGGUGCAAGCGUUACUCGGAAUCACUGGGCGUAAAGCGCGCGCAGGCGGGCUGAUAAGCGGGGAGUGAAAGCCUACGGCUCAACCGUAGAACUGCUUCCCGAACUGUCAGUCUAGAGUCUGGGAGGGGCAGAUGGAAUUAGUGGUGUAGGGGUAAAAUCCGUAGAGAUCACCAGGAGUACCGAAAGCGAAGGCGAUCUGCUGGAACAGAACUGACGCUGAGGCGCGAAAGCGUGGGGAGC